rnacentral:misc_RNA from 1 species
GACGAACCGUGCAAACGUUGUUCGGAAUCACUGGGCUUAAAGGGCGCGUAGGCGGGCAGGCAAGUCGGAGGUGAAAGCCCGCGGCUCAACCGUGGAAGUGCCUUCGAUACUGCAUGUCUAGAGGGAGGUAGGGGCGUGCGGAACUUCCGGUGGAGCGGUGAAAUGCGUAGAUAUCGGAAGGAACACCGGUGGCGAAAGCGGCGCGCUGGAUCUCUACUGACGCUGAGGCGCGAAAGCCAGGGGAGCAAACGGG